GGGCCUUGUCUCCCCCACCCUCUGUGACAUUCUGCCCUUGGGAUUCUUAUCGCAGGGCGUGGUCAGUGUAGCGCUGGCAAUCAGAAGACCCAGCAUGUGACCUCAGGGCAAGUCAUGCCCUGGUGCUGUGCCUCAGUUUACCCAGCUGUCCAGUGUGGAUAAUCCUGACAGCCGCAGGAAGACAGGAGCAGGAGGUGUCGAGGGCAGUGUUUGCUGAUGUUUGAAAAGUACUUUGGGAUCCCAACCUGGAAGGGGCUAAAGAGAGUGAAGGAUGAUUAUUAGCUAUUAUUAGAGUGUAGAGUCCUCGGUCCCCUAAUGUUGAGCAUGAGAAAGAAAAAAAGAAAGAAAACCUAGAUGGGGGUGUAUGGAGCUAGAUUCCCCAACCACCCCCAGUCCUCCCUGCUCUGAUCCUGUCGGCCAUGCCUAGCCCUGGUACUUGGUUACUGUGUGGUCCUAGCCAAUGCAGCUGCUGGUUGUUUUAGUUGCCUCAGCUGUUUCCUGCUCCCCCUCCCCCCCCCACCAUCACCCAGAGCACAGAGCUGUCCCAACCCAGCUCCAUCCACUGUUUGCCCCCUUCCCACCUCCCCUGCAGCAGCUGGGGGAGGGUUUAACUCAAGCCCUCAGGUCGCUGCUGUGGCCCUAGCGUGGGCCAACCAAGACCCCAUAUCUCCUGCUUGGAAACAGCUGAGCCUUUUAGCUGAAGCUUUUCCAAAAUAUGCAGCUGGAGGCUGGAACCAGCCCAAACCGGUUCAAUUAUGGUCAAGUGACAAGCAAGAUCUUAUCCUAGGACAUGCCAGGGAAUGCUAACUCCAGGCAGUGCUACCAGUUCUGAUGCUCCAGGGGAAUGAUACUCAGCUCCUUGGUAAAGUGCUCUAGAUCUACGGAUGAAACGUGCUAGGUUCCUCGCUGAUGCUCAACUCUCGCAGGUACUGCUUUCACCAUCUCUGGCUGGCUCGGAGACUGCGUCCCACCUGGCAGGCAAUGCCCUGGCAGUGGUGCUACCGGCCAGCAUCUCCUCCCACCUGGGCUCCGGCACUGCCAUAGAUCUGGGCAUGAAGCCCUUGGAGAGCUCCAGGGGGUUCCGAACACUGCACCACAGGCUCCCGUGAGCAGGUCCCGCUGUUGCCAACCUCAAGAGAGCAAAAAACACGAGUCAGACCCCAAAACAUCAGGAGAUUGGCUCAAAAAACAUGGAAUAUUUUUGUUUUUAAAGCGCAUCUUGUGUUUUUCUUCUAUCUUCCAACUGUUGCUCUCGCCUGGCCCAUCCCUGAUGUGUGUGGAAGGGCAACUGAUGCUGUCCAUUCUCCCAAAUGGUGUAUCCUCAGGGGCCUGUGAGACAAUAGGAACAUCUGCAUUCAGCUUGCCCAAGGCCAGCGGGGUCUAGUGGUGUGGAGAGGGCUGCACAGGAGGCAUGAGAGCUCAGUUCUCUCCCCAGAUCUGCUGCUAGGCUUAUGUGUGAGCUUCAGUAAGUCACUUCUUCUCUGCCUUUGUUUCCCCUCCCACCCUUCGACUGUCAUGUCUUUUUUGAGCUCUUUGGAACAGGAAUUGUCUGUGCAGCACCUGGCACAACUGGGCCCCAAUUUCAGUUGGGGUCUGGGCAGCACCCGGCACAACCACCAAUUGCCUCCAUUCCAUUCGGCACUCUGUUCCAGUGUGGAUAAUGACACCACUUGCUAAUUAAAUCACACAUAUGAGGUGUCGCUCUUUA